rnacentral:rRNA from 1 species
UACGUAGGGUGCGAGCGUUGUCCGGAAUUAUUGGGCGUAAAGGGCUCGUAGGCGGUUUGUCGCGUCGGGAGUGAAAUCAUCUGGCUUAACUGGGUGCUUGCUUUCGAUACGGGCAGACUAGAGGUAUGCAGGGGAGAACGGAAUUCCUGGUGUAGCGGUGAAAUGCGCGGAUAUCAGGAGGAACACCGGUGGCGAAGGCGGUUCUCUGGGCAUGACCUGACGCUGAGGAGCGAAAGUGUGGGGAGCAAACAGG